rnacentral:rRNA from 1 species
AGUAACGGCGAGUGAAGCGGCGAAAGCUCAAAUUUGAAAGCUGGCGCAAGCCCGCGUUGUAAUUUGUAGAGGAUGCUUCUGGGCAGCGGCCGGUCUAAGUUUCUUGGAACAGGACGUCACAGAGGGUGAGAAUCCCGUAUGUGAUCGGCUCGCGCCCUCCACGUAGCUCCUUCGACGAGUCGAGUUGUUUGGGA